UACGUAGGGGGCGAGCGUUGUCCGGAUUUAUUGGGCGUAAAGAGCGUGUAGGCGGCCAGGUAGGUCUGCUGUGAAAACUCGAGGCUCAACCUCGAGACGUCGGCGGAAACCAUCUGGCUAGAGUCCGGAAGAGGAGAGUGGAAUUCCCGGUGUAGCGGUGAAAUGCGCAGAUAUCGGGAAGAACACCCGUGGCGAAGGCGGCUCUCUGGGAAGGUACUGACGCUGAGACGCGAAAGCGUGGGGAGCGAACAGG
rnacentral:rRNA from 1 species